GCAAGUAUAGUUUAACCCAGACAUUAGACUGUGAUCCUAAAAAUAGAAGUUAGACCCUUCUUACCUGCC
rfam:Columba livia unplaced genomic scaffold scaffold31, whole genome shotgun sequence.